rnacentral:rRNA from 1 species
CUACGGGACGCUGCAGUGGGGGAUAUUGCACAAUGGGCGAAAGCCUGAUGCAGCAACGCCGCGUGAAGGAAGACGGGUUUCGGAUUGUAAACUUCUAUCAGCAGGGAAGAAAAUGACUGUACCUGACUAAGAAGCCCCGGCUAACUACGUGCCAGCAGCCGCGGUAAUACGUAGGGGGCAAGCGUUAUCCGGAAUUACUGGGUGUAAAGGGUACGUAGGCGGCUGAUCAAGUCAGAUGUGAAAGCCCGGAGCUCAACUCCGGGACUGCAUUUGAAACUGGUCGGCUAGAGUGCAGGAGAGGAAAGUGGAAUUCCUAGUGUAGCGGUGAAAUGCGUAGAUAUUAGGAAGAACACCAGUGGCGAAGGCGGCUUUCUGGACUGUAACUGACGCUGAGGUACGAAAGCGUGGGGAGCGAACAGGAUUAGAUACCCGUGUAGUC